rnacentral:rRNA from 1 species
GGUAGCACAAUAACUCGCCUCUUAAUUAGAGGCCGGAAUCAACGAACGCACGUGAGCCCCCCUGUCUCUAUAAAACCAAAGAAACUUAACCUCUAGGUGAAAAGGCCUAGAUACAACUAAAAGACAAGAAGACCCUAUCGAGCUUCAUUAUCCCUUGAUAAAACAAGUCAUUUAUACUCACCUUUUUAUAUCAGGAAAUAAUUCAGUUGGGGCAACUAAGGAACACCAAAAACUUCCUUUUUUUAUUUUAUAGUCAUUUGACCCAGAACCUCUGAACAAAAGACCAAGCUACCGUAGGGAUAACAGGUUAAUUUUUCUCGAGAGCCCACAUUGACAGAAAAGUUUGACACCUCUUAUUUUGGCUUAGGUUACCCCGUUAGUGCAGCCGCUAACAAAGGUGGGUUUGUUCAACCCGUAACAACCUACGUGAUCUGAGUUCAGACCGGA